GGCUUCGUGGAUCACGGUGGAUCACUCUCCUGUUGUAAGUGGCGGAGUAUACCUUCUACGAGAGAAAUGCGGGUUCGACUCCCGCCGAAGCCA